rnacentral:rRNA from 1 species
GAUGAACGCUGGCGGCGUGCCUAAUACAUGCAAGUCGAGCGAACAGACGAGGAGCUUGCUCCUCUGACGUUAGCGGCGGACGGGUGAGUAACACGUGGAUAACCUACCUAUAAGACUGGGAUAACUUCGGGAAACCGGAGCUAAUACCGGAUAAUAUAUUGAACCGCAUGGUUCAAUAGUGAAAGUCGGUUUUGCUGUCACUUAUAGAUGGAUCCGCGCCGCAUUAGCUAGUUGGUAAGGUAACGGCUUACCAAGGCAACGAUGCGUAGCCGACCUGAGAGGGUGAUCGGGCACACUGGAACUGAGACACGGUCCAGACUCCUACGGGAGGCAGCAGUAGGGAAUCUUCCGCAAUGGGCGAAAGACUGACGGAGCAACGCCGCGUGAAUGAUGAAGGUCUUCGGAUCGUAAAACUCUGUUAGUAGGGAAGAACAAAUGUGUAAGUAACUAUGCACGUCUUGACGGUACCUAAUCAGAAAGCCACGGCUAACUACGUG